AGUUGCAGCACCGGUUCCCGUACGAUCACCGAAGUUAAGCAACGUUGAGUCUGGUCAGUACCUAGAUGGGUGACCAUUUGGGGAUACAAGGUGCCGUCA